UCAGGUGACGCUAGCGGAGGGGAAACACCCAGCUCCAUACCGAACCUGGAAGUUAAGCCCCCCAGCGCCGAUGGUACUGCACUGGUAACGGUGCGGGAGAGUAGGUCGUCGCCUGGG
rnacentral:rRNA from 1 species